rnacentral:rRNA from 1 species
CCGACGGUGAGAGGCGAAAGCUGGGGGAGCAAACCGGAUUAGAUACCCGGGUAGUCCCAGCCGUAAACGAUGUGCGUUAGGUGUAUCGGUGACCACGAGUCGCCGAGGUGCCGAAGAGAAAUCGUGAAACGUACCGCCUGGGAAGUACGGUCGCAAGGCUGAAACUUAAAGGAAUUGGCGGGGGAGCACCACAACAGGUGGAGCCUGCGGUUUAAUCGGACUCAACGCCGGAAAACUCACCAGAUAAGACAGCUGAAUGAUAGUCGGGCUGAAGACUCUACUUGACUAGCUGAGAGGAGGUGCAUGGCCGUCGUCAGUUCGUACUGUGAAGCAUCCUGUUAAGUCAGGCAACGAGCGAGACCCACGCCAACAGUUGCU